GCCAGGCACAGUGGCACAUGCCUGUAAUCCCAGCAGCUUGGGAGGCUAAGGCAGGAGGAUUGCAAGUUCAAAGCCAGCCUCAGCAACAGUGAGAUCCUGUCUCUA
rnacentral:sRNA from 1 species